UACGUAGGGUGCGAGCGUUGUCCGGAAUUAUUGGGCGUAAAGAGCUUGUAGGUGGUUUGUCGCGUCUGCUGUGAAAAUCCGAGGCUCAACCUCGGACUUGCAGUGGGUACGGGCAGACUAGAGUGUGGGUAGGGGGAGACUGGAAUUCCUGGUGUAGCGGUGAAAUGCGGCAGAUAUCAGGAGGAACACCGAUGGCGAAGGCAGG
rnacentral:rRNA from 1 species